rnacentral:rRNA from 1 species
UCAGGAUGAACGCUAGCGGCAGGCUUAACACGAUGCAAGUCGAGGGGCAUCGGGAGUAGCAAUACUGCCGGCGACCGGCGCAAGGGUGCGUAACGCGUGAGCAACAUGCCCGUAUCAGGGGGAUAAUCCAUGGAAACGUGGUCUAAUACCCCAUAGUAAUUAUGUAAGGCAUCUUAUAUAAUUUAAAGCUUUGGUGGAUACGGAUUGGCUCGCGUGACAUUAGCUGGAUGGUAAGGUAACGGCUUACCAUGGCUACGAUGUCUAGGGGUUCUGAGAGGAAGGUCCCCCACACUGGAACUGAGACACGGUCCAGACUCCUACGGGAGGCAGCAGUGAGGAAUAUUGGACAAUGGAUGGAAAUCUGAUCCAGCCAUGCCGCGUGCCAGGAAGACGGCCCUAUGGGUUGUAAACUGCUUUUGUAUGGGAGCAAUAAGGGCUACGUGUAGUCCGAUGAGAGUACCAUACGAAUAAGCACCGGCUAACUCCGUGCCAGCCGCAGC